CACGGCGCACGGGUGCGUAACACGUGGGUAAUCUGCCCUCUGAUGGGGAAUAACUCGCCGAAAGGCGAGCUAAUUCCGCAUAAUAUUCCGAAAACCUCGGUUUUUGGACUGAAAGGCGUAAGUCGUCGGAGGAGGAGCCCGCGCCCGAUUAGCUAGUUGGUAGGGUAAUGGCCUACCAAGGCUUUGAUCGGUAGCUGGUCUGAGAGGAUGGCCAGCCACACUGGAACUGAGACACGGUCCAGACUCCUACGGGAGGCAGCAGUGGGGAAUCUUGCACAAUGGGCGAAAGCCUGAUGCAGCGACGCCGCGUGGGGGAUGAAGCUUCUCGGAGUGUAAACCCCUUUCGAUCCGGACGAAUGCCUCGCAAGAGGAGUGACGGUACGGAUAUAAGAAGCCCCGGCUAACUACGUGCCAGCAGCCGCGGUAAUACGUAGGGGGCCAGCGUUGUUCGGAAUUACUGGGUGUAAAGGGUUCGUAGGCGGUGCGGCAAGUUGGGAGUGAAAUCUCUGGGCUCAACCCAGAGACGGCUUCCAAAACUGCUGUGCUUGAGUGUGGGAGAGGCGCGUGGAAUUGCAGGUGUAGCGGUGAAAUGCGUAGAUAUCUGCAGGAACACCCGUGGCGAAAGCGGCGCGCUGGACCACUAC
rnacentral:rRNA from 1 species